GAUGAACGCUGGCGGCGUGCCUAAUUCAUGCAAGUCGAGCGAACAGACGAGGAGCUUGCUCCUCUCACGUUAGCGGCGGACGGGUGAGUAACACGUGGCUAACCUACCUAUAAAACUGGGAUAACUUCGGCAAACCGGAGCUAAAACCGGAUAAUAUAUUGAACCGCAUGGUCCAAUAGUCAUAGCCGGUUUUGCUGUCACUUAUCGAUGGACCCGCGCCGCUUUAACUAGUUGGUAAGGUAACGGCUUACCAACGCAACGAGGCGUAGCCGACCGAGGAGGGGGACAGGGCACACGGGAAGGGGGACUCGGUCCAGACUCCUACGGGAGGCAGCGGCAGGGAAUCGUGAGCAAUGGGCGAAGGCCUGACGGAGCAACGGCGAGUGAGGGAUGAAGGUCUUCGGAUCAUAAAACUCUGUUAGUAGGGACGAACAAAUGUGUAAGUAACUAUGCACGUCUUGACGGUACCUAAGCAGAAAGCCGGGGCUGACUACGUG
rnacentral:rRNA from 1 species